GACGAACUGCCCAAACGUUGUUCGGAAUCACUGGGCUUAAAGGGCGCGUAGGCGGCAUAUCAAGUCAGGGGUGAAAUCCGGCAGCUCAACUGUCGAAGUGCCUUUGAUACUGAUAUGCUAGAGGGAGGUAGGGGUGUGUGGAACUUCCGGUGGAGCGGUGAAAUGCGUUGAUAUCGGAAGGAACGCCGGUGGCGAAAGCGACACACUGGAUCUCAUCUGACGCUGAGGCGCGAAAGCUAGGGGAGCAAACGGG
rnacentral:rRNA from 1 species